AGUAGGCAGGGAACACAAACUAAAUGGGAUUCUUUUAGUAAUGGCGAAUGACCAAGGACCAAUUCAUGUUCAAGCAGGCAUUCGCCUUGCAAUGUGCAGUGGUUGUGAAAUGCAAGCAGAAAUGUGUGUGAUACUAUCUGGGGGGGUAGCAUAGUAGGUGAAACUCCUUCUGUGGAUGCAUUGAUUUCUGCAUAGAGCAUUCACCUCUGAGUCGUGCUUCUUGGGAUUGAAGUGUAAAUGUGGUGGUAAGGUUCAUCUAAAUUUAAAUAAUGGUUUGUGGCCAAUAGCAAACAAGUACCAUGAGGGAAUUGUGAAAAGAACUUUGAGAAGAGAGUUAAAAGGCCCUGAACCUACUGUGAGUGAAAGCAAAUGGGUGCUGCAUAAGAAGCAAGGUUGCAUUGAGUUGAAGGGUUGUGCUUGUGGCAACAUGGUGUUGCUUGCCAAUCCCAAAUUCAUUGUGUUCCUUGCUCAGUUUGCUGAUGGCGUGCCUUUGCACAUGUGCAUGAAUUUUGGGGAAUUGCAGAAAUCAAGCUGCAUGCUUUUGGGGGGAUAUGGUGAAAGGCCACGGGUAAUCAAACAUUUACUGGCAACCCUUACCAAGUAGAGUUGCAUCGAUGUUGUGUUCAUCU
rnacentral:rRNA from 1 species